rnacentral:rRNA from 1 species
AACUUUGAGCGGGGGAUCACUCGGCUUGG